GACGAACGCUGGCGGCGUGCUUAACACAUGCAAGUCGAGCGGUAAGGCCCUUUCGGGGGUACACGAGCGGCGAACGGGUGAGUAACACGUGGGUGACCUGCCCUUAGCUCUGGGAUAAGCCUGGGAAACUGGGUCUAAUACCGGAUAUGACUCCAUGACGCAUGUUGUGGGGUGGAAAGCCUUGUGCGGCUGAGGAUGGGCCCGCGGCCUAUCAGCUUGUUGGUGGGGUGAUGGCCACCAAGGCGACGACGGGUAGCCGGCCUGAGAGGGCGACCGGCCACACUGGGACUGAGACACGGCCCAGACUCCUACGGGAGGCAGCAGUGGGGAAUCUUGCGCAAUGGGCGAAAGCCUGACGCAGCGACGCCGCGUGAGGGAUGACGGCCUCG
rnacentral:rRNA from 1 species